AGCAGCCGCGGUAAUUCCAGCUCCAAUAGCGUAUAUUAAAGUUGCUGCAGUUAAAAAGCUCGUAGUUGAAUUUCGGGAUCAAUAUGUUGGUCGUGCCUUGGUGCGUACUAGUUUAUUGAUUUCUCCCUUCUGACGAACUAUGAUGCCAUUAAUUUGAUGUCAUGGGGAAUCAGGACUGUUACUUUGAAAAAAUUAGAGUGUUUAAAGCAGGCUCACGCUUGAAUACAUUAGCAUGGAAUAAUAAAAUAGGACGUUUGAUUCUAUUUUGUUGGUUUCUAGGAUCGACGUAAUGAUUAAUAGGGAUAGUUGGGGGCAUUAGUAUUCAAUUGUCAGAGGUGAAAUUCUUGGAUUUAUUGAAGACUAACUACUGCGAAAGCAUUUGCCAAGGAUGUUUUCAUUAAUCAAGAACGAAAGUUAGGGGAUCGAAGACGAUCAGAUACCGUCGUAGUC
rnacentral:rRNA from 1 species